AUGCAAUAUUUGGAAAGCUAAAGCAACUAUACUGGGAGAAAAAAAAGAAGAAUCUGGAAUGCAAAAAGAGAGUACAAAUGUGUCAUUGCACAACCUCCCUAACUCCUUCACACGUUUAUAUUGUCUUUAUACCCUCUCUGCCUCCUUCACAUAGGAACUCACCACUCCGCCUCAAUCAUAUUUCACAAUCCCUUAGUUUAAUGGUUCUCAUAUGUCUGAGCUUUUGGUUUGAGUUUAAGGAUGUGAUAAAACUUGAUGUUGCUGAUUGCUGGUGUUUGUUGUGUUACAACGAUUUUCGACCGCGGUUUCUCUGUAUAAGAAUUCAGAUGGCGGGUGAUAAUAGGGGUAAGGCUAUUGCCAAAGCCCCGAAAAAGUCAGGAAAGAGGAGUGCUUUGACUAUGAGCGGUACUCUGACAGCUACUCCCAGCCCGACUAUGUCACAGCCAUCGACAUCAUCUACCCACAUGUUGGGAUGUCGGGAUUCUGACGAAGAACCUCCCGACGAGGAGGCCCUCCACAGCUUGAGGCUUAUGAUCAAUAUGAUCGUCUCAUAAUCGAGCCAGUUAGGUUCAUCCUUCUUUCCGGGCAAAGCAACUAAAAGGGUUUCAAAGACAAUCAACGGACUCUAUAAAGGCGCCAUUCUGUCUUGGGCAAGGUGUCACCGGAUCUGAAGAGGCAGAUGUUUAUAGAGUUCAGAGAAAGUGUUCUUGGAAGCCGGAACAUGAGGCAGUAGUCGCGCAGAAUUUCGAGAAAAAGGCGGGGAAAAUACUUAAGGAUGCGUUACGUCGAGCCCGUGUCAAUUGCCUGUAGCCUAAGUGGAUCCGCGAUGACUUCUGGCCGGAGCUACUGCACUUAUGGGCGACUGAUCUGACGUUUUUUAAGCAAAGUGCUAAUGGGAAGAAGGCCAAAGCCUCAAAGAGGGGUGGAUCGCUACACACUAGUGGGGCCACGAGCCAAGUGGGCUUGAGGAAGAAGCUGCCAUGCCAAAGAUUAAACGUUUCAAGAAUCCACUAAAGUCGGCGGAUGGACAUGCUUCGUCAUUGACUGUUUAUAGCGGCACAAGCCUUCCCACAUGAUCCGUCACAAACUCACGAAGUCCCGCAACAAGAACAAGCUCCAAUUAUCCCGCAACACGAACAAGCUCCAAUUCUCCCGCAACAAGAACAAGCUCCAAUUCUCCCGCAACAAGAACAAGUUCCUUAUAGUGCAACUAGGGGUGUUCAUGGUUCGGUUUGGAUCGGUUAUUGAUUAAAACCAUAACCAAACCAAUUUAGUCGGUUUUUAAAUGUCUCAAAUCAUAACCAAACCAAAUAAAAUAAUAACCACCGGUUUGGUUAUUGUCGGUUUGGUUUGGUUUGGUUGGAUUUUUCGGUUUAUGACUAACAGCCAUGAGACUUAUCAGUAAAACAUUAAAAAGUUGAAAAAGACGUGUCUUUUUUUUUUGUUCAAACGAUAACUUUUAUUUAUCGUUUAAGGUGGAACAUACAUCAUAGAAAUAUUUUCACUAUUAGUGAUAGUGUCGUAUUCAAGUUACCCAAAGUUGCUAAACUAUUACAUAUAGAGCUAAAAACUAACUAAGUAGUGGCUGCACCAUUUUUGUCAUCUUAAUACACAUACCUGGAAAUAAAGUAGAGCAUAGGAGCUUUUAGUUGUUAUAAACAUACAUAUUAAUUAAACAUAAAGACUACCUAAAAUUAAAAUUAAAAUAUAUGAAAUAAAAAAACUUUGUGUAAUGAUCUCAAACUUUGGGGCAGUACUUGCAUUUUGCCCUCAAUUCUCCCAUUUUAUUAAAAAAACUUUGUAUAAUGAUCUAAAACUUCAGAUGUUUUUCUAUCAUUAUCCCAAAGGUUAGGGUCUCAACUACAAGGAGUUGUUCUUUUUUGCUUUUUAGGAAGAUUACCCACGGAAGAAGUAUUAGGGCAUUACCAUGUGCUUGAGUUGCAGCAAAUGCUGAUGUUACUGAAGUAUCUUCUAUAGGAACCUCCAAAUCUACAAAGAAAGGCUAAAAAUUUAAGUUAAAGACAUUAGACUCUAACGUGAGCUUCUGUUAGUAGGUUUACACUUAACACUUAAAGAGUUAAAAGAAAGACAUGGGCUUGGGCAUAUUCUUAAAAACAUGGGCCUUAAACAAUCAUGUGAAAUAAGUGGAUCGAAAAUAAAAUUAAUGAUUAAAAGGUAUAAAAUAUUUAUAAUUAUUUAUGAAAAACUAAUAUUAUACAUAUAAAUAAUUAUAAAAUUUAUGUAUAUAAUUUAUUGGUUUGGUUCGGUUAUUUAUUCGGUUAUUUUUUAAUAUAACCAUAACCAAACCAAAUAUUAUCGGUUUUUAAAAUUUAAAACCAAAUCAAACCAAACCAAACCAAAUGUCGGUUUUUUUAUUCGGUUUGGUUAAAUUUUCGGUUUGGUUUUGGUUUUAACCAAAACCGUGAACAGCCCUAGCAAGAUUGCUCGCUGGAUAUUGUGGAUCAUUGGCAAUUGACUGUAAUUUGUUCCCGAUUAGUUUUGAGAGGUGGUCAGGGCCAUCGCAUGCCUAAGAAAUAUAUGGAAGACUGCUUUGAAACAAUAUUGAAGCCUCGAUUUCUUUUUCGGGAAAGUGAGUCCAUUGCAUACAGAUAUUGCAAUGCUAGUAUUUCAAAGAAGUGGGCUACACAUAGGCAGAGAUUGUGGAAUGAAUAUUGACUCGGCCAAAAGCAAAAAUGAGAUUAUAAGUAAUGUGCCAUCAGGUAUAAAUAAAGAUCAAUGGGCUAGUUUUGUUGCUUACCGUCAAAAACCAUCAACAAUGGAGCUUUGCAGAAGAAAUAAGGAAAUUCAAAGGAAGCAAAAAAUGCUACACACUAGUGGUUCAAAAGCUAACUCGAGAAGACGAUAUGAGCUGUUUAUGGAAACUGGAAAAACUCCUAGUCGCGGAAAAAUAUUUAUGGAAACUCAUAAGAGAAAGAAUGGAUCAUUUGUGAAUGAUGAGGCACGGGCUAUAGUGGAACAAAUUGAAUUGAAUGCCAAUGAGUCUGAAGUUUCCCGAGAUGAUAUUAUUGGUAAGAUGUUAGGGGCAGAGCACUCUGGGAGAGUUAGAUGUAUGGGUAUGGGAGCAGCUCCUUCAAACACAUUCUUGAAUACUAAACGACGACUUAACGAGUUAAGCAUUUCUUCAACUAGUUACGGUGCAUCAUUCUGAACUUCUACCUAUUGGCAUCAAAAGGUCACGCAUUUGGAGUCCCAAUUAGAAGGAACCUUGACCGCACUGAAGGAUUACAUGAUAUCAAAGGAAGGAGGGGUUCCUGAAGAAUUUGCUGGUCUCUUUGCUACUCAACCACAGUUCUAUUAUUUCAGCCUGCUGAUGCAGAGAUAGUGGCGGAUCCAGGAUUUUCACUCAGGGUGUUCGGAAAAAUAAUUGGACCUAAAUAUACACUGUAAUAUAUGUUCAGGAUGUUCAAAAGUUAAUAUAUGUACAUGAACACAGAAAAUUUACCCUAAAUAUACACUGUAAUUUUUUGUCCAGGGUGUUCACCCGAACACCCUGGCCUCUUACUGCAUCCGCCCCUGUGCAGAGAAUGAACCUACUUCACCAGUGGAUGUAGGAGGAUCAUCGGCCGAUAACAACGCAAAUCACCAAUCAAAUGCUUAAUGUUUUCUUAGUGGGCUACUUUUGCUUUUUAGGGAUUUAAAUUUCUAAUGGUUGUCUAGACUUGUGUUUACUAUGUUUUAGUUUGAUGUUCAGUACUUUUGCUUUUUAGGGAUUUAAUUUUCUAAUGGUUGUCUUAGACUUGUGUUUACUAUGUUUUAGUUUGAUGUUCUGUACUUAAAUUGUGACUUUUGCUAUUAUGGAUAUUAAUCGUAAUUUAUUUUUUUACGUAUAAA